rnacentral:pre_miRNA from 1 species
AAUAGAAUUGAUGGAUCAUAUGGUAACUCUAUUAACUUUUUGAGAAACUUCCAAACUGUUUUUCAAAGUGGCUGCACCAUUUGACAUUCCCACCAAUAAU